rnacentral:rRNA from 1 species
CAGCAGCCGCGGUAAUACAGAGGGUGCGAGCGUUAAUCGGAUUUACUGGGCGUAAAGCGCGCGUAGGUGGUUUGUUAAGUUGGAUGUGAAAUCCCCGGGCUCAACCUGGGAACUGCAUCCAAAACUGGCAAGCUAGAGUAUGGUAGAGGGUGGUGGAAUUUCCUGUGUAGCGGUGAAAUGCGUAGAUAUAGGAAGGAACACCAGUGGCGAAGGCGACCACCUGGACUGAUACUGACACUGAGGUGCGAAAGCGUGGGGAGCAAACAGGAUUAGAUACCCCCGUAGUCCCUGUCUCUUAUAC